CGCCGUCCUUCUGAAGAGGGUGCAGGAUGAUGUGCUCCCUGACCAUCACCCUGAGGGCCAAGUGUGGGUCUUCUUCUCCCUCGAAGCCCUGCAACACUACGACUGGAGGAUCCCAGAUGAAGCCAAACACAUUUACAACUGGACGAUGACGUAUCAUUCCUUCUCGGAUGUUGUUGUUCCCUAUGGACGCACUCUCCUCCUCCCUCCCCACGCCCAAAACCUCUCUUUAUCUUCAGAUAAAAGGAAUUAUUGGCAAGAGAAAAAUAAGGACGGGGUGCUAGUGGCGUGGAUGGUCAGUCACUGCCACACCGCCUCCAACAGGGAAGGGUAUGUCGAUAACCUUCAGAGGUAAGAAUCUGUUUUUAGAUUUUUAUUUUGCUUGUUUGUUUAUCUUUGG